rnacentral:snRNA from 1 species
GUGCUCACUUCAGCAGCACACAUACUAAAAUUGGAACAAUACAGAGAAGAUUAGCAGGGCCCCUUUGCAAGGAUGACAUGCAAAUUCAUGAAGCAUUCCAUAUUUUG